AGAAAAUUGACUGAGUGGAUUAAGGUGGUAAGCUUGAAACUUAUUUGAUUAUAAUAAUUACAUCCGUUCGAAUCGGAUAUUUUCUG
rnacentral:tRNA from 1 species